GUGCCAGCAGCCGCGGUAAGACGAACCGUGCGAACGUUGUUCGGAAUCACUGGGCUUAAAGGGCGCGUAGGCGGGCCAUCAAGUCCGGGGUGAAAUCUUUCGGCUUAACCGGAAAAUUGCCUUGGAUACUGGUGGUCUUGAGGGAAGUAGGGGUCUGCGGAACUUCCGGUGGAGCGGUGAAAUGUGUUGAUAUCGGAAGGAACGCCGGUGGCGAAAGCGGCGGACUGGGCUUCUUCUGACGCUGAGGCGCGAAAGCUAGGGGAGCAAACGGGAUUAGAUACCCCUGUAGUCC
rnacentral:rRNA from 1 species